UCCUUUUAUUUUUUUCUCUCGCACGUUUAGACACGCAUAUGCAAGAAUUGCAGUGUUCGUGACAGAGAGUCAAAUGCAAUCCGCGUUAUUUUGUUUCUUCGUCCGAAUUGGAACGUGAAAACCCUUUUUUGCUUCUGGUGAACUGGAACGCCUCAGGCAGUUUACGGUGCACUUUGGGCCAUGGACGAUGACAGACGUGGUCUCAGGGCCGUAAACUUUGUGUCUGGCAGGUGACUAACAAAGACUGAGAUGCUCUGUUUAACGAAAAAGCAGGUUCGGUGCGGUGGACGGCCACAGGUAACAAAAAAAAGCCGAGUAGCCCGUAGUGAGGUAUAUUGCGGAGGCGAUGACUGAAAAAGGAAGCGCCGUUACACUGCGAGCACGCAAUCCAUAAAAGGUUGCCAUGUUCGGGUGAUGGCGGAUUGAGGCACCUGACAAACAGCCAGGGCCUUUGUGUUUGUUGAUUCCUUUUGCGAAUAGAAUGGAGGUCAAGUCAGAGUCAUGUUUUCCUGAUCAAGUGACAGGUGUUUGUGGAAACAUUGUCAUCGAACAGUGAAUUCAUUCCAUCCAUUCAUCACCUCACAAUUGGUGAUGAAGCCUUGGCUCGGUCUAUGAUUUGAAUCAUCUUUAAGUUGUUGAUUAGUUAUUUACUGCACAUUUUUUUUUUUUAGUACUACGUUGGGAAUUUGAGAGACAUUGUUUUUGUUUCAUAAUCCGGAACACAGUGUGUAUUGUAAUCGUGAUUAGUGAAUCGAACGUUAACACGAGGGGAUUUUUAGAAAGGGAGAAGAACUCGAUUUGAAAACUCACUCGACUGGAUGGGGGGUGGGGAAUGUUUUAAAUAAUAAAGCCACAAAUAGAAGACAGGUAAAAAAGAAAGAAAGAAAGAAAAA